GGCGAGGUAAGAUCGAUACGGUCCUCCGUAGGCAUGGCCUCGCCGGCGGGGGUCGGGGCUGCGGUCGCCGGCGCAGCCGUUGUCACGCUGCUCUCGGCCGCGCUCGCGUUCUAUGGGCCGCCGCUGGACGCAGUUUUAAAAAGAGCAUUCUCGCUGCAUAAAGCACAUUCAAUAAAGGAUAUGGAAAAUACUUUUCAAUUGGUGAAAAAUAUUAUACCUCCUCUAACUACCAAGAAGCACAAAGGGCAAGAUGGAAGAAUAGGCAUAGUUGGAGGCUCUCAAGAGUACACCGGAGCCCCUUACUUUGCAGCAAUCUCAGCUCUCAAAGUGGGUGCAGAUUUAUCCCACGUGUUCUGUACCCGGGAGGCCGCACCUGUGAUCAAGUCGUACAGCCCGGAGCUGAUUGUUCACCCGGUUCUUGACAGUCCCGAUGCCGUUCAUGAAGUAGAAAAGUGGUUGCCCCGACUGCAUGCCUUGGUUGUAGGACCUGGCUUAGGCAGAGAAGAAGCUCUUCUCGAAAACGUCAAGGGCAUUUUAGAAGCAUCAAAGGCCAGAGCCAUCCCUGUCGUCAUUGAUGCAGACGGGCUGUGGCUGAUAGCUCAGCAGCCGACCCUCAUCCAAGGCUACCAGAAGGCCGUUCUCACUCCCAACCACGUGGAGUUCAUCAGGCUGUCUGAAGCUGUGCUGAGAGACCCCGUGGAUAGCAGUGAUCGCCGUGGAGCUGUGCUGAGACUCAGCCAGGCCCUGGGGAAUGUGACUGUGGUCCAGAAAGGGGAGCAGGACGUGAUCUCCGAUGGCGAACAGGUUCUCGAGUGCAACCUACAGGGCAGUAACCGCAGAUGUGGUGGGCAGGGUGACCUCCUGUCGGGAUUCCUGGGUGUUCUAGUGCAGUGGGCACUCCACGCCGGACCUGAGAAAACAAAUGGUUUCAGCCCCCUCCUCGUGGCUGCCUUUGGUGCGUGCUCCCUCACAAGGCAGUGCAACCACCAAGCCUUCCAGAAGUAUGGCCGCUCCACCACUACCUCGGACAUGAUCGCAGAAAUCAGACCUGCAUUCAGCAGACUCUUUGAAACCUGAGCCGAUGCAAACGAGAAGAAAGAGAUGAUGGAGCCGAACACAGCAGGGCUCCUGGGACCGCCAGGCUCCUGUGACAGAUGACCCAGAGAAGGCUCUUUAAAGGCAACGGUGUAACAGGUCACUUCUGCCUGCUGUGCCUCCAUGCGGACAAGCUGGCAGGGGGCCCUGGACUAACUGCUGGAGCUGCCACUCUGCAAGCCAGACAACCCGGGCAGAAGAGCCGGAAGACGUCGGGGGAAAAUGUCUUCAGAAAGUCCUGAGAGAGAGAGAGAGAUGCGGGAGAGAUGUACAGUGCUUGUCUUUCCCAUUUGCAUCACUCGGAGGUGAGCUCUCACACGUCCAGCAAUCAGGAAUGUUUAUGAAAAGCUUUGUUUUGCAUUCAAACUCUUAGCACUUUCCUUGCAAUUUCCCUGCUGACUGUCCACAUUCAGUCCAAGCGUCUGUGGGAAAGGCCGAGAGGAGAGGCCUGUCUGCCUGGAGAACCGCUCCACCGGGCGCAUCGGGAGUCUGCUCUGCUGAUGGCCUGGGAGCCUUCACCACGGCAUGAGAGGACGGCCACCACCAGAGGCCACCCAGCAGCCUGGGAACCACAGAGAGACUGUGCUCAGGAAGGGACACAGGGAGGAGGAGGCACGCACAGCUCCUGGCUGAGUGAGAGGGACAGGCUCCCAGGAGCAGGAAGGAGACAGUCCAGAAAGCUUGGCUGUGGUAACGUCAGAACAAGCAACAUCCAUGCCCAGGCUGGACUGAGGGGAGAGGGCCCAGGUCAUUCUCUCCAGUGACACUGAACUUGAAGCAUGCCCAGGCUGGACUGAGGGGAGAGGGCCCAGGUCAUUCUCUCCAGUGACACUGAACUUGAAGCAGGUAUGUUUCUCAAAGAAUAAACCAUCCUGCCUCGAUAAAAGUGAACGUAAAAUAGCUCUAGCCGGUUUGGCUCAAUGGCUAGAGCAUCGGCCUGCAGACCAAAGGGCCCAGGUUUCGAUUCUGGUCAAGGGCACAUACCUCGGUUGCAGGC